GUGGGGAAUAUUGGACAAUGGGCGAAAGCCUGAUCCAGCCAUGCCGCGUGUGUGAAGAAGGUCUUCGGAUUGUAAAGCACUUUAAGUUGGGAGGAAGGGCAGUAAGUUAAUACCUUGCUGUUUUGACGUUACCGACAGAAUAAGCACCGGCUAACUUCGUGCCAGCAGCCGCGGUAAUACGAAGGGUGCAAGCGUUAAUCGGAAUUACUGGGCGUGAAGCGCGCGUAGGUGGUUUUGUAAGUUGGAGGUGAAAUCCCCGGGCUCAACCUGGGAACUGCCUCAAAAACUGCAUGACUAGAGUACGGUAGAGGGUAGUGGAAUUUCCUGUGUAGCGGUGAAAUGCGUAGAUAUAGGAAGGAACACCAGUGGCGAAGGCGACUACCUGGACUGAUACUGACACUGAGGUGCGAAAGCGUGGGGAGCAAACAGGAUUAGAAACCCUUGUAGUCC
rnacentral:rRNA from 1 species